rnacentral:rRNA from 1 species
UACGUAGGGUGCGAGCGUUGUCCGGAAUUAUUGGGCGUAAAGAGCUCGUAGGCGGUUUGUCGCGUCUGCUGUGAAAUCCCGAGGCUCAACCUCGGGCCUGCAGUGGGUACGGGCAGACUGGAGUGCGGUAGGGGGAGAAUGGAAUUCCUGGUGUAGCGGUGGAAUGCGCAGAUAUCAGGAGGAACACCGGUGGCGAAGGCGGGUCUCUGGGCCGAUAUUGACGCUGAGGAGCGAAAGCGUGGGGAGCGAACAGG